CGAAAGAUGUGUGAUUUGCCCUUCGGGGUGUAACCUAUCACAGUGCUGCAUGGCUGUCGUCAGCUCGUGUCGUGAGAUGCGGUUAAGUCCCAUAACGAGCGAAACCCUUGUCCUUAGUUUGCUAGCGGGUAAAGCCGAGGACUCUAAGGAGACUGCCGGUGUUAAACCGUGAGGAAGGUGGGGACGACGUCAAGUCAUCAUGGCCUUUAUGUCCAGGGCUACAAACGUGCUACAAUGGCCGGCAUAAAGGGAGGCAAAACCGUGAGGUGGAGCAAAUCUCAAAAAUCCGGCCCCAGUUCGGAUUGGAGGCUGCCAAUUCGCCUCCAUGAAGUUGGAAUCGCUAGUAAUCGCGUGUCAGCUACAACGCGGUCGAAUACGUUCCCGGGCCUU
rnacentral:rRNA from 1 species